UUUUGUGAACGAGAAUUAUUUGCGGUAAAUUCCUUCCAGCGGAGUAAAUUUGUUGUACGUGUAGAGGUCGGAUCCACCGUAACCGUAGUACAAAUGUCCCUUACCCGAUCCGUCGUAAUAAGGAUAACGAUAUGGCGGUCUAGAAAAGGAAAGAACUCAAAUCAGCUGGCCAGUGAUUUAACUAAUCAAGUCUCUUUUCAAAUCUCACCUUUGAUAGUAAGGAAAAGGAAUCUUGCCGGCCGCGUAACAGCAUGCCAUCACAGCAGCCAGGAACAAUAAAACCAUCUAUUCGUGAACAAGACAUUCAACAGGAUUAAGAUUGAGGGGAAACGAUAAAAUGGGAUCUGCAUCUCUUUCUAGGUCGGCAGACGAAUUUUUCCGUUUGGCCUUCACAGUCUGAACUGUUUGAUGUUCACCGAAGGAGAAAGCUCCAUACGUGAUGGGCCACUAAUACUUGACGCACUACUUGCAUUGACCCUUAUCAUUCCAAAUGAUUAGAAUUCUAAAUCAAGGGAAAGUUUUUCUCUUUCUUAUCUUAUCAAUCAGUCGAAUAAAGAAUAUGUCGCUAUAAGAAAAGAAUGUUUCGUGUAUGAACCAGUCGAAUUUUUUUGAUUAUGUACAAGGAAUUUGUUUUCCCUAAAAUGUUGUUUCUCUCUCAGUUAUGGUAAUAUGCAGGUCUGGCAGGUCUUUCCACUGAUCGAAGUCCUC